rnacentral:rRNA from 2 species
AACUCUCGGCAACGGAUAUCUCGGCUCUCGCAUCGAUGAAGAAUGUAGCAAAAUGCAAUACUUUGUGCAGAAUCCCGUGAACCAUUGAGUCUUUGAACGCAAGUUGAACCCGAAGCCAUUAGGCCGAGGGCACGUCUGCCUAGGUGUCA